rnacentral:rRNA from 1 species
CGAGUGGCGGACGGGUGAGUAAUGUCUGGGAAACUGCCUGAUGGAGGGGGAUAACUACUGGAAACGGUAGCUAAUACCGCAUAACGUCGCAAGACCAAAGAGGGGGACCUUCGGGCCUCUUGCCAUCGGAUGUGCCCAGAUGGGAUUAGCUAGUAGGUGGGGUAACGGCUCACCUAGGCGACGAUCCCUAGCUGGUCUGAGAGGAUGACCAGCCACACUGGAACUGAGACACGGUCCGG